GGAGAGGUGCGAGAGUGGUUGAAUCGGCCGGUCUCGAAAACCGGUAUAUCAGCAAUGGUAUCAAGGGUUCGAAUCCCUUCCUCUCCG
rnacentral:tRNA from 2 species